rnacentral:tRNA from 2 species
AGGGCAGUAGCUCAAUUUGGUAGAGCACCGGUCUCCAAAACCGGCGGUUGGGGGUUCGAGUCCCUCCUGCCCUG